GUGGCCUCUAUGGCCGCCUGUGUCGCCCCCACCCCGGGGUUCACCUCCACCAGGUCCAUGACCGACAGCAGACCUGCAAAUCCAGGACCACAAAGUUGCAAAUCUUCGACCUGAAACAUGCGAGAAGAUGGUUUAAAGGUCCGACUCGGAUGGAAUGUUUGCCCCGCGACGUCGAGCGUUACCUCGCCAGCACGUGAUCCAGAGCGACUUCCGUGACCCUCUGGAUGCCGAGUCUGUCGAUAUCCCUCAUGGUGAAGUACUGGAUCCCCAAGUUCUUCAGGAUGUGGCUGUGAAGAACA